GAUGAAGAACGUAGCGAAAUGCGAUACUUGGUGUGAAUUGCAGAAUCCCGUGAACCAUCGAGUCUUUGAACGCAAGUUGCGCCCGAAGCCAUUAGGCCGAGGGCACGCCUGCCUGGGCGUCACACGUCGUUGCCCCCCCAUCUACUCCUUCGGGAUUGCGGGGGGUGGAUGAUGGCCUCUCGUGCGCCUCGUCGCGCGGUUGGCCUAAAUGCCAAGUCCUCGGCGACGCACGCCACGACAAUCGGUGGUUGCGAAACCUCGGUUGCCUGUCGUGUGCGGUCGUCGCGCAUCGAGGGCUCGAAAAAAUUGCCGGGCUUCGGCUCGACUUUCAACGCGACCCCAGGUCAGGCGGGGUUACCCGCUGAAUUUAAGCAUAUCAAUAAGCGGAGGA
rnacentral:misc_RNA from 1 species